UUUUCUUAAAUGAGUUGCUGAGA
rnacentral:piRNA from 1 species